UUCAAUUCUAAAGUUUCUCAUGAGCUUGGCUGGGGCGUUGAACAACGAGCAUUGGGUUCUCUUCCUAGGAAUACCACCAUUUCCCCUGACGGAGUUACAGUUAUAUACCUGUUGCCUUAAUCAUAGUGACGCAAUCGCUGCUUUGGCGGACUUACAUCCAGUGAAUGAUUUCCAGAAACGAACCGGAAGAAAUCGUCACGUUUCCGUUGACGUCAUCAAACAGAGGAACCAUUCGGACCUCCCCGGCCUCUCCAUUCAAGCCAAACUUGAGGCCAUCGGAAGUGUCGG